GGCGAGUGAAGUGGACUCUGAGGGCUACCGCUACCGCCACUGCUGCGGCAGGGGCGUGGAGGGCAGAGGGCCGCGGAGGCCGCAGUUGCAAACAUGGCUCAGAGCAGAGACGGCGGAAACCCGUUCGCCGAGCCCAGCGAGCUUGACAACCCCUUUCAGGACCCAGCUGUGAUCCACCCCUGCCCCAUUGCCUCCACCCUCAGCUCCCUCCUUGCAGCCCUCGAGAAAGCUCAGCCCCACAGAACCUAAGAACUAUGGCUCAUACAGCACUCAGGCCUCAGCUGCAGCAGCCACAGCUGAGCUGCUGAAGAAACAGGAGGAGCUCAACCGGAAGGCAGAGGAGUUGGACCGAAGGGAGCGAGAGCUGCAGCAUGCUGCCCUGGGGGGCACAGCUACUCGACAGAACAAUUGGCCCCCUCUACCUUCUUUUUGUCCAGUUCAGCCCUGCUUUUUCCAGGACAUCUCCAUGGAGAUCCCCCAAGAAUUUCAGAAGACUGUAUCCACCAUGUACUACCUCUGGAUGUUGGCUGGAUCUCUGCUCUGGUGGUGCCGAAGGGCAACACAGCAGUAUCCGUGCUCAUGCUGCUGGUCGCCCUGCUCUUCACUGGCAUUGCUGUGCUAGGAAUUGUCAUGCUGAAACGGAUCCACUCCUUAUACCGCCGCACAGGUGCCAGCUUUCAGAAGGCCCAGCAAGAAUUUGCUGCUGGUGUCUUCUCCAACCCUGCGGUGCGAACCGCAGCUGCCAAUGCAGCCGCUGGGGCUGCUGAAAAUGCCUUCCGGGCCCCGUGACCCCUGACUGGGAUGCCCUGGCCCUGCUACUUGAGGGAGCUGACUUAGCUCCCGUCCCUAAGGUCUCUGGGACUUGGAGAGACAUCACUAACUGAUGGCUCCUCCGUAGUGCUCCCAAUCCUAUGGCCAUGACUGCUGAACCUGACAGGCGUGUGGGGAGUUCACUGUGACCUAGUCCCCCCAUCAGGCCACACUGCUGCCACCUCUCACACGCCCCAACCCAGCUUCCCUCUGCUGUGCCACGGCUGUUGCUUCGGUUAUUUAAAUAAAAAGAAAGUGGAACUGGAACUG
rnacentral:lncRNA from 1 species